rnacentral:rRNA from 1 species
UACAGAGGUCUCAAGCGUUGUUCGGAUUCAUUGGGCGUAAAGGGUGUGUAGGUGGCGCCGUAAGUCGGGUGUGAAAUUUCGGAGCUUAACUCCGAAACUGCAUUCGAUACUGCGGUGCUUGAGUACUGGAGAGGAGACUGGAAUUUACGGUGUAGCAGUGAAAUGCGUAGAGAUCGUAAGGAAGACCAGUGGCGAAGGCGAGUCUCUGGACAGUUACUGACACUGAGGCACGAAGGCCAGGGGAGCAAACGGG